rnacentral:rRNA from 1 species
GCCAGGAUGUUGGCUUAGAAGCAGCCAUCAUUUAAAGAAAGCGUAAUAGCUCACUGGUCGAGUCGGCCUGCGCGGAAGAUGUAACGGGGCUAAACCAUGCACCGAAGCUGCGGCAGCGACACUAUGUGUUGUUGGGUAGGGGAGCGUUCUGUAAGCCUGCGAAGGUGGCCUGUGAGGGUUGCUGGAGGUAUCAGAAGUGCGAAUGCUGACAUAAGUAACGAUAAAGCGGGUGAAAAGCCCGCUCGCCGGAAGACCAAGGGUUCCUGUCCAACGUUAAUCGGGGCAGGGUGAGUCGACCCCUAAGGCGAGGCCGAAAGGCGUAGUCGAUGGGAAACAGGUUAAUAUUCCUGUACUUGGUGUUACUGCGAAGGGGGGACGGAGAAGGCUAUGUUAGCCGGGCGACGGUUGUCCCGGUUUAAGCAUGUAGGCGGAGGUUCCAGGUAAAUCCGGUACCUUUUAACGCUGAGGUGUGAUGACGAGGCACUACGGUGCUGAAGUAACAAAUGCCCUGCUUCCAGGAAAAGCCUCUAAGCAUCAGGUAACAUUAAAUCGUACCCCAAACCGACACAGGUGGUCAGGUAGAGAAUACCAAGGCGCUUGAGAGAACUCGGGUGAAGGAACUAGGCAAAAUGGUGCCGUAACUUCGGGAGAAGGCACGCUGGUGUGUAGGUGAAGUCCCUGCGGACGGAGCUGAGACCAGUCGAAGAUACCAGCUGGCUGCAACUGUUUAUUAAAAACACAGCACUGUGCAAACACGAAAGUGGACGUAUACGGUGUGACGCCUGCCCGGUGCCGGAAGGUUAAUUGAUGGGGUUAUCCGUAAGGAGAAGCUCUUGAUCGAAGCCCCGGUAAACGGCGGCCGUAACUAUAACGGUCCUAAGGUAGCGAAAUUCCUUGUCGGGUAAGUUCCGACCUGCACGAAUGGCGUAAUGAUGGCCAGGCUGUCUCCACCCGAGACUCAGUGAAAUUGAACUCGCUGUGAAGAUGCAGUGUACCCGCGGCAAGACGGAAAGACCCCGUGAACCUUUACUAUAGCUUGACACUGAACAUUGAGCCUUGAUGUGUAGGAUAGGUGGGAGGCUUUGAAGCGUGGACGCCAGUCUGCGUGGAGCCAACCUUGAAAUACCACCCUUUAAUGUUUGAUGUUCUAACGUAGGCCCCUGACCGGGGUUGCGGACAGUGUCUGGUGGGUAGUUUGACUGGGGCGGUCUCCUCCCAAAGAGUAACGGAGGAGCACGAAGGUUAGCUAAUCCUGGUCGGACAUCAGGAGGUUAGUGCAAUGGCAUAAGCUAGCUUGACUGCGAGCGUGACGGCGCGAGCAGGUGCGAAAGCAGGUCAUAGUGAUCCGGUGGUUCUGAAUGGAAGGGCCAUCGCUCAACGGAUAAAAGGUACUCCGGGGAUAACAGGCUGAUACCGCCCAAGAGUUCAUAUCGACGGCGGUGUUUGGCAC